AAAAAAAGGGUGAUAAAUUGAUUUCUAUUUAAUUUUUUUAUACGAGAGGCACGCGUAACGCGCUUAAAAUUUUACUACUGUACCUGCUUUUUUGUUUGUAGGUAAACCCGAUACUGGUGUAGACUGUGUAGGUACACUUUUCAAGUACACGGUUUUGUUUAUUUGAAUGUUAAUUCCAAGUGAAUACGUCAGAGUGUAUAUGUACGUAAUAUGAAUAUAAUGAAUGUCAUGAAUAUUACAUGAAAUAAUUAUAAAAUCAAUGUCGUAGCCAACUACGUAUGCUCACUAUAUAGAAUAAUAUGUUCAACUCGCAGUAAAAUUGUACGGAAUAAUGUUAUUGCAAGUGUUACGAUUGUUUAUAAUAUUUAUACCCCGUGGCCAAGCAAUAUAAUAAGCAGGUAGUAUUUACUAUUUUAUAUGAAUACACGGGAACGUCGAUGCACACGAAUUGCGUUCCGAAAUCCCUUUUCCACAUGAACUGACGUCAGUCGCGCGGUAUAAACAAUAAUAAUUAUUGUACAAUCUACUAAUUCUGCGGCAAACUUUCUAGUUUUUUAUUUGACCCGGUAAACAAUUUAGUGUAUCACUCAAUUCAGUGCUCAAAUAGCUUGAGUGAAUGUGGCUGAAUGUUUGCCUUUGCGUAAAUCUGGGUGACUUUUAUUUAACAGUCAAUCAUUACCGACUUUUGUUCAUUUGUUCCCGAUUGAUAUUUU